GUAGGUGAACUGCGGAAGGAUCAUUACCGAGUGUAGGGUUCCUAGCGAGCCCAACCUCCCACCCGUGUUUACUGUACCUUAGUUGCUUCGGCGGGCCCGCCAUUCGUGGCCGCCGGGGGCUCUCAGCCCCGGGCCCGCGCCCGCCGGAGACACCACGAACUCUGUCUGAUCUAGUGAAGUCUGAGUUGAUUGUAUCGCAAUCAGUUAAAACUUUCAACAAUGGAUCUCUUGGUUCCGGCAUCGAUGAAGAACGCAGCGAAAUGCGAUAACUAGUGUGAAUUGCAGAAUUCCGUGAAUCAUCGAGUCUUUGAACGCACAUUGCGCCCCCUGGUAUUCCGGGGGGCAUGCCUGUCCGAGCGUCAUUGCUGCCCAUCAAGCACGGCUUGUGUGUUGGGUCGUCGUCCCCUCUCCGGGGGGGACGGGCCCCAAAGGCAGCGGCGGCACCGCGUCCGAUCCUCGAGCGUAUGGGGCUUUGUCACCCGCUCUGUAGGCCCGGCCGGCGCUUGCCGAACGCAAAUCAAUCUUUUUCCAGGUUGACCUCGGAUCAGUAGGAUCCCGCUGACU
rnacentral:rRNA from 1 species